rnacentral:lncRNA from 1 species
AUUGAAGAUGGUGAUCAUCUACAAGAAGCAUGGGAACACAUAUUAACAUGCCUCUCCCGAAUUGAGCAUUUGCAAUUGUUAGGCGAGGGCGCUCCAAGUGAUGCAACCUUCUUCACUUCAUCUAAUUUUGAAACAGAGGAAAGAACUGCAAUUGUUAGGCGAGGGCGCUCCAAGUGAUGCAACCUUCUUCACUUCAUCUAAUUUUGAAACAGAGGAAAGAACACCAAAAACAUUAGCUUUCUCUUCUUUCAAGAAAGGAACUCUCCAGAAUCCAGCCAUGGUGGCUAUCGU